GCAGAGUAGACCCUCCCUGAUGUGUGGAGAGAAACCAAAGGUCAGGACGCAGCAAGGGAGGCCUGGACCCAGCUCUGGAGCUCCCAGCUCUGGCCAUACAUCUGCCACAGGGAUCGAUGGAAGUCAUUAUCAUUGCCACAUGUUAAUGACACCAAUUAAUUCUCCAUCUGUGGGUCCAAUGCAGCCUUCAGCACUGAAGGUUAAAGAGAGGGGACUCUCUCAGGCAAGGGGCUUAUGUUAGUGAGCAGCACGUGUACAAAAGCUGUCCUGGAUGUGUGAACGCUGAUGAUCAAGCCUUUGCCCUCCUACAAGUGGAUGGUACCUGGGUGUCUAUCUUGCCCACAUACCUUGUUGCACAGAUCCUGCCAUGGAGCCCAGGACUCCAAAAAGAGAUCUCUGUGUGCUAUGUCAGGGACUGGAUGCUGCCCAAUCUUCAGAUAGGUCGGGUCAGGGGGAUGAAUAGGUGUUUACCAAGCAAAUGGAGUCAAACAGGAGGGAAGAAAGGAUAGAGGUGCUGUUCAAGCAACUAA